rnacentral:tRNA from 1 species
CCUCUCGUAGUGUAGGGGUAACUCGCCCUAUCUUGUAAACAGGAAGUCGUGAGUUCGAUUCUCUCCGAGAAGA